GCACAUGCGCGGCAGCUCCCGCUGCUGAAUAGCUGAGAGGCGCACCCGGGCGGCCAGCUGGGCUCGGAGUGCAGCGGGGUUAGGAUGGACGAGGACGUGUUGCACCCUGAAGAGCCUCAUCAUCGGUGAGAGUGGGGUGGGCAAGUCCAGCCUGCUCUUGAGGUUCACAGAUGAUACCUUUGAUCCAGAACUUGCAGCAACAAUAGGUUCACCUGCUUCCAGGCGGGCAGGGCGUUGUAUUCAUCCCUCGUCAUGUCUAGUGCAAACUGGAAACAUUGGGAGAAGCGCCCCGCGGCUCAGUGAAAGGAGCCGGGCGUGCGUGUGUUGUUUUACUCCCAUCCCCACCCCACCGGAAGAACCGCUUACCUCGAAGUCUUCGUCGGUGAGAUAGAUCUCAAGCUUCAGAGGAUCGACCCCCUCCGGGAGUGGCCUGGCCAGGAGGUCGGCCAGCGGGCCUGCACAACAGUAAAUGGCCCCGCUGCUAACCCCCAAGAUCUAUAGUGAAUACACAGGGAGGAUGGUGAGUUAUAUCCUUCUGAAAGUGGCUCAACUGUGCCACAGAACUGAUGUUUAUGAUUUCUUUGGAAUAAACGUCGAAAUUAACUCUCCUAGUCUUGAAAUUCGAGAAAGUUAUAUUUGUCUUAUCUGAGUUCCUUUCUCAGGAAACCAACCAUCAGGCAUCUCCAAUAGUAUCAAAAAGCCAGCAGUGGCUCAUGCUUGUAAUCCCAGCACUUUGAGAGGCUGAGGUGGGCAGAUGGCUUGAGCUCAGGAGUUCAAGACCAGACUGAGAGACAUGGCAAAACCUCAUUGAAAAUACAAAACAAAUUAGCCAGGCAUUAUGGUGUGUGCUUGUAGUCCCAGCUACCUGGGAGGCUGAUGUGGGAGGAUUGUCUGAGCCUGGAGCUGGAGGCUGCAGUGAGCUGUGAUUACACCACUGCACUCCAGCCUGGGCAACAGAGCAAGACCCUGUCUCAAAAAACAAAAACAAAACCUGAAGCUUACCAGACCCCUUACCCACCAUGAUGCCUAACCAACCCCCCGCUUCCUGUUGACCAGCUCCUCUUCCUCACCCCUCCCUAAUUCCUGUUUCCCACACAUGGUUACAUUUCUUCCCUGCUAUAAAAAUCCCUAAUUUUAGUAGGCCAGAGACACAGAUUUGAGACUUAUGUCCUGUUCCCCUUGGCUGUAGCACCCAAAUAAACUUUCUUCCUUGGC
rnacentral:lncRNA from 1 species